rnacentral:rRNA from 1 species
CCUACGGGGGGCAGCAGUGAGGAAUAUUGGUCAAUGGACGAGAGUCUGAACCAGCCAAGUAGCGUGAAGGAUGACUGCCCUAUGGGUUGUAAACUUCUUUUAUAUGGGAAUAAAAUGUUCCACGUGUGGGAUUUUGUAUGUACCAUAUGAAUAAGGAUCGGCUAACUCCGUGCCAGCAGCCGCGGUAAUACGGAGGAUCCGAGCGUUAUCCGGAUUUAUUGGGUUUAAAGGGAGCGUAGGUGGAUUGUUAAGUCAGUUGUGAAAGUUUGCGGCUCAACCGUAAAAUUGCAGUUGAAACUGGCAGUCUUGAGUACAGUAGAGGUGGGCGGAAUUCGUGGUGUAGCGGUGAAAUGCUUAGAUAUCACGAAGAACUCCGAUUGCGAAGGCAGUUCACUGGACUGCAACUGACACUGAGGCUCGAAAGUGUGGGUAUCAAACAUGAUUAGAUACCCCUGUAGUC